rnacentral:lncRNA from 1 species
GGAGGCCGCCCAUCCCUAGAAACCCACACCCAAUAUUUUCCCCUCAGAUACUCGGUGAUUUUUGAUGUCUUACGGUUAAAUUUCAGAUCUCACACAAAAAGAAAAAACUUCUUAAAGAGAGGGCAUCCAAGGUUGGUUAGGAUGAGGUCAUACCUUAUCCAGAUAAGGAAUUGAAUUCAAUCAAAUUUGAAACUACCUUAUCAACUAGAUUUUUAUCCAUAUCAAGUGUGGAGAAGAAAAAGGGGGAACAACUCCUUAUUGGCAUGGAGAAAAACACAUGCAAAAAUAUUUCUUGCAUGAAGAAGAAUUGGCGCAAGAGAAGAGUGGCACA